rnacentral:rRNA from 1 species
AAUAUUGGUCAAUGGGCGGGAGCCUGAACCAGCCAUGCCGCGUGCGGGAUGAAGGCCCUCUGGGUCGUAAAACGCUUUUAUACGGGAAAAACCGCAGUUACGAGUAACUGGAUGAGUGUACCGUAGGCAUAAGGAUCGGCUAACUCAGUGCUAGCAGCCGCGGUAAUACGGAGGAUCCGAGCGUUAUCCGGAUUUAUUGGGUUUAAAGGGUGCGUAGGCGGCAUUGUAAGUCAGGGGUGAAAUACAGCGGCUCAACCGUUGCAGUGCCUUUGAUACUGAAGUGCUUGAAUGUGAUCGAAGGAGGCGGAACGGGACAAGUAGCGGUGAAAUGCAUAGAUAUGUCCCAGAACCCCGAUUGCGAAGGCAGCUUCCUAGAACAUAAUUGACGCUGAUGCACGAAAGCGUGGGGAUCGAACA